rnacentral:rRNA from 1 species
UACAUAUCAAUAAGCGGAGGAAAAGAAACCAACAGGGAUUGCCUUAGUAACGGCGAGUGAAGCGGCAACAGCUCAAAUUUGAAAUCUGGCGUCUUUGGCGUCCGAGUUGUAAUUUGCAGAGGGCGCUUUGGCAUUGGCAGCGGUCCAAGUUCCUUGGAACAGGACGUCACAGAGGGUGAGAAUCCCGUACGUGGUCGCUAGCCUUUACCGUGUAAAGCCCCUUCGACGAGUCGAGUUGUUUGGGAAUGCAGCUCUAAAUGGGAGGUAAAUUUCUUCUAAAGCUAAAUACUGGCCAGAGACCGAUAGCGCACAAGUAGAGUGAUCGAAAGAUGAAAAGCACUUUGGAAAGAGAGUUAAAAAGCACGUGAAAUUGUUGAAAGGGAAGCGCUUGCAGCCAGACUUGCCUGUAGUUGCUCAUCUAGGUUUCUACCUAGUGCACUCUUCUAUAGGCAGGCCAGCAUCAGUUUGGGCGGUUGGAUAAAGGUCUCUGUCAUGUACCUCUCUUCGGGGAGAACUUAUAGGGGAGACGACAUGCAACCAGCCUGGACUGAGGUCCGCGCAUCUGCUAGGAUGCUGGCGUAAUGGCUGUAAGCGGCCCGUCUUGAAACACGGACCAAGGAGUCUAACAUCUAUGCGAGUGUUUGGGUGUCAAGCCCGAGCGCGUAAUGAAAGUGAACGGAGGUGGGAACCUUUCGGGGUGCACCAUCGACCGAUCCUGAUGUCUUCGGAUGGAUUUGAGUAAGAGCAUAGCUGUUGGGACCCGAAAGAUGGUGAACUAUGCUUGAAUAGGGUGAAGCCAGAGGAAACUCUGGUGGAGGCUCGCAGCGGUUCUGACGUGCAAAUCGAUCGUCAAAUUUGGGCAUAGGGGCGAAAGACUAAUCGAACUAUCUAGUAGCUGGUUCCUGCGAGU